rnacentral:rRNA from 1 species
GAUGAACGCUGGCGGCGUGCCUAAAACAUCAAAGUGGACGGAAGGACGGGAAGCUUGCCUUUCUGAUGUUAGCGGCGGGCGGGGGAAUAACACGUGGAUAACCUACCUAUAAGGCUUGGCUUACUUCGGGGAACCGGAACUAAUACCGGGUAAUAUUUUGGAACGCAUGGUUUCAAAGGGAAAGACGGUCUUUGUUUCACCUAUAGCUGGAUCCGCGCUGCAUUAGCUAGUUGGUAAGGUAACGGCUUACCAAGGCAACGAUGCAUAGCCGACCUGAGAGGGUGAUCGGCCACACUGGAACUGAGACACGGUCCAGACUCCUACGGGAGGCAGCAGUAGGGAAUCUUCCGCAAUGGGCGAAAGCCUGACGGAGCAACGCCGCGUGAGUGAUGAAGGUCUUCGGAUCGUAAAACUCUGUUAUUAGGGAAGAACAUAUGUGUAAGUAACUGUGCACAUCUUGACGGUACCUAAUCAGAAAGCCACGGCUAACUACGUG